GGAAAAAAAACAAAAAGGAAAACAGAAGAACCCAAAUUAGGUCUCCAGUACACUGCUCACAGAAUCAUGAUCAAAGUCUAAUGAGGUUAUGGUUUGAACCUGCAUAAUUAGCAAAUCCUUAAAACCCUACUAAUUUCUCUUUCUAAACACAGUUUCAAGAUGGUUCUAAUCUCAGUCUUCACCCAAUCGAUUUCAUCUCUUCUAAGAUAUUCCAUCAAUUCCAGGAUGGGGAAUUUUAAGUGAAGUAUGUGGCUAGACCUGGACAAGUAAUGGAGUUGCUAGUGCUGGUAAUGCAAUAUCAACAGAAAGAAUGGAAGGCUGGAUUACUCAUAGGAUUUUCGCUUCUUCAGGGUUGGGAUAUCUUGGCUGGCAUUUGGAUUGCUUGGUAGUGGUAGACCGUCAGGUUAUUUCAAACCCUCUGAAAUGAAGAAUCUUUGCUAGCUUCAUCAUGGAGCUUAUGUGACUCUGAACUGGGUAUGGUAUGCAAACCGCAUGAAUCUUGUCCAUGCUGUUUAAUCUUUGUCUCUCG